GAGGCUGAUUAUGGAAUUGGGAGAAAGUGCUCAUUUGGCAACACAAGAAAGGAAUAAGGGUCACGGCAAGCAGAAGGGGAAAGGUAAAAUACCUCCCCAAGCUGACAUUAAGAAGGAAUCCAAAUGUUUCUUCUGUAGAAAGAAGGGGCAUAUGAAGAAGGAUUGCGUCAGAUUUAAGGCCUGGCUCGAGAAGAAAGGGUUUUCAAAACCACAGGAAGCCAGUGGGAAGUGAACAAAGCAUCUAUUCGGGAAACAAGAUGCGUUCGCAUGUAGAAGCUAUUGGGACAUGUAGAUUAGUUCUCAAUAGUGGCUUUGUUUUGGAUUUGGAAAGGACCUUUUAUGUUCCAAGUUUCUCUAGAAACUUAAUUUCAGUUUCAAGACUUGUACCUUUGGGUUACUCUUUUAACUUUUCAGA